rnacentral:rRNA from 1 species
AUUGAACGCUGGCGGCAGGCUUAACACAUGCAAGUCGAGCGGGCGAGGUUGCUUCGGUAACUGAGCUAGCGGCGGACGGGUGAGUAAUGCUUAGGAAUCUGCCUAUUAGUGGGGGACAACAUUCCGAAAGGGAUGCUAAUACCGCAUACGUCCUACGGGAGAAAGCAGGGGCUCUUUAUGACCUUGCGCUAAUAGAUGAGCCUAAGUCGGAUUAGCUAGUUGGUGGGGUAGAGGCCUACCAAGGCGACGAUCUGGAGCGGGUCUGAGAGGAUGAUCCGCCACACUGGGACUGAGACACGGCCCAGACUCCUACGGGAGGCAGCAGUGGGGAAUAUUGGACAAUGGGGGGAACCCUGAUCCAGCCAUGCCGCGUGUGUGAAGAAGGCCUUUUGGUUGUAAAGCACUUUAAGUGGGGAGGAGGCUUACCUGGUUAAUACCUGGGCUAAGUGGACGUUACCCACAGAAUAAGCACCGGCUAACUCUGUGCCAGCAGCCGCCGUAA